UUUCGCAAAUCUCAACAAACGAUUCAUUCACGAAUUGGAAUGAUCCGAUUGCAGCUGUUCUCGAGUCGCAACUCACUGAUUCAAAUGAUCCGUUUAGAGCGAGUCUCCAGUGAACUCAACUCAUCUUGAGAGCGCGCGCGCGUCUGAUGCUGAGAAGAUCUGUCGUCUAAACUUCUUCUGGACAUGAACGUCUUUCAAGAGUCCUGCUGCUCCAUUUUAGGAGUUCUCCUGGUUUUUCUUCUCCAAGGGGGGUUAUUAUUGCUGCUCUCUGCUCAUUCAGGACAGGCUGCACGGAUGGCAGGGAGUUUUUGCACAGAACAGAACCAUACCGCCAAACCAAACUUUAUGCAUACGUCCUGACAGAAGUAUGUUAAUAGACAUCUAAAUGUGAAAAAUAUGGCAUGAAUUUGUGACAGUAUGUAACCAUUUUUUGUUGUUUGUUCUGUAUUGUAAGGCAGGCCUGGCUCCAGAAUCAAAUCACGGAGGGUGCUUCUUAAAGGGUUACUCCACCCCAAAAUGAAAAUUUUGUCAUUAAUUACUUACGCCAAUGUCGUUCCAAACCCGUAAAAGCUUCGAUCGUCGAUUCGUCCGAUCGCUUGUGACUGUUCCAUUGACUGCCAAGUAAUUACCACUGUCAAGGCACAGAAAAGUAUGAAAAGCAUCGUCAGAAUUGUCCAUCUGCCAUCAGUGGUUUGUCAAGUCAAGUCAAGUCACCUUUAUUUAUAUAGCGCUUUUAACAAUACAGAUUGUGUCAAAGCACUUAACAGUAUCAAAUUAGAAGAUAGAGUGUCAGUAAUGUAUAAUGAUAAGAUUAAACACUCAAUUUUCAAUUUUCAGUUAAAGGCAUUUCAUUAUUGAAUUCAGAGAUGUCAUUGUCUAGCUCAGUUUAGUUUAAAUAGUAUCUGUGCAAUCAAAUCGGCGAUAAUCGGCUACAAAUGAAGUGUCCCCAACUGAGCAAGCCAGAGGCGACAGCGGCAAGGAACCAAAACUCCCUCUGAGACAGAAUGGAGAAAAAAACCUUGAGAGAAACCAGGCUCAGUCGGGGGUCAGUUCUCCUCUGACCAGACGAAACCCGCAGUUCAAAAGUUUAGAUUUCUAUUUUAAUUUUGUUGCAAUUUCUAACAAUAGUAGUAUUAUGUAGUUAGGUAUUUUAUUAUAUUUUAGUUAUUUUGUUAUAUUUUUUUAGUUUUAUUGUAUUCAAUCGAGGUCUUCACUGGGGAUAUGUCUCUGGGGCUCAUCUGGGUGUCCUGGUCUCCGCUGACGAUCAGGGCUGUAGACAUCAUCUCUUGGUGCUGAUCAUCAUCUGAUCGGAUACAGACUGAGAAACAGAAUAAGAAAGAAACAGACAAAUAUUAGCGUAGAUGCCAUUCUACUUACGAUGUAACGAGUACAUCGUGUGUUAUGGGGAGUGUUCCCGGGUUCCGGUUGAUCUAAUUAAUGCAGCCUAACAAUCCUUUAACGGAUUUGAAUAAUAGAAGCGUAUUAGUGUGUUAUGUGUA